rnacentral:tRNA from 1 species
GGCACGGUACGCAAACGGGCAAAGCGGCGGAGCUUAAACCUUCGCGACUUUGUGGGUUCGAUUCCCACCCGUGCUA